CUUCAAAUCGAGUGGCGCACGGGUGAGUAACACGUAUCCAACCUGCCCUUUACUCGGGGAUAGCCUUUCGAAAGAAAGAUUAAUACCCGAUAGCAUAAUGAUUCCGCAUGGUUUCAUUAUUAAAGGAUUCCGGUAAAGGAUGGGGAUGCGUUCCAUUAGGUUGUUGGUGAGGUAACGGCUCACCAAGCCUUCGAUGGAUAGGGGUUCUGAGAGGAAGGUCCCCCACAUUGGAACUGAGACACGGUCCAA
rnacentral:rRNA from 1 species